rnacentral:rRNA from 1 species
CGCGUAGGCGGCUAAAUUAGUCAGAUGUGAAAGUCCACGGCUCAACCGUGGAAGUGCAUUUGAAACUGUUUAGCUUGAGUACUGGAGGGGUGGUGGAAUUCCCGGUGUAGAGGUGAAAUUCGUAGAUAUCGGGAGGAAUACCGGUGGCGAAGGCGACCACCUGGCCAGAUACUGACGCUGAGGUGCGAAAGCGUGGGGAGCAAACA